rnacentral:snoRNA from 1 species
ACCUGUGAUGAUUUCCAGAUAGGGACAUCUUAUGCUUCGGCAAAUGAUUCGACCCUGGAGCUAGUUUUUUAGUAGAUGCUUUGCACCUCUGAGC